UUGACCUCGGAUCAGGUAGGGAGACCC
rnacentral:rRNA from 1 species